AAUAUGGUAAGUUCAGUUCAAAGUUAAUAGAAAAAUGAAUUAGUUCAUGCUCAACACUGGUCGCCUCCUAGUAGAAAGCAUGGGGGUAAUAGUGCUAUUUUGUUGUUUGCUUGAGGAAAAUAGCUGUGUUAAGCAACAAUUGCUAAUAUCUGCUGUCAUGAAGACUUUAAAAUGAUAAAUAUCAGUGCUAUUGAAUCCCUCGGCUUGUUAUUUGCUUCUUUUAUGCCUACUAGAUGGAAGCCGAGUUUGCUCGCCUCACCACUGUUGACCUGAAAGGCUGUCUCUCUGCUGGCCUUGACAAGUCUGCAGAGGUUUAUUGAUCUCUACAGAGCCAAGUGUGGUGGAGCUGAAGAAGCUGUUGACAACACUGGAUAGUGAUUGUUCCAACCAAUGGAAAAGGACCAUCGGUCUGAUGGGGCUCCCCGACUACCUCAAAGAUGUUGCGUCCAACUUUUACAAGAAAGUUCAGGCCACAGUUGCUAAGGAGGACAUGACUAGAGGAAUGACUGUGGGCAUCCUCGUGGUGGCAGACGGGAAUGAUCCUUCCGUCGCUCAGUGAUUUUCCAACGGCUGUGGCACUUCUGAUGGGUCUGCUCUAUGCACUGAACAUUGACUACCCCAAAGACACAAGGUACACAUUUGAAGUCAUUCAGAAGGUGCUCAUGGACAUUGGUGGAGGCCAUUGCACUGCGUUGGUUCAUGGCUUGAGAAACAGACUCUUGAGGAAAACCAUGUAAGCUUAAAGCAGAGUUUAAGCUUUGCCCAAAUGUGAACAAAAUGUGAACUUGAUUGAGAAAUGGACUCUUUGUUAUUUUUGUUAGACGUCUUAUAGAUUGUGUACUGUUUGGGGGACACAAUAACACACACGGUAUGGAUUUAUUUGGGGGACACAGUAACACACACGGUGUGGAUUUAUUUGGGGGGGACAGUAACACACUCGGUGUGUUUAUUUUGGGGACACGGUAACACACUCGUGUGUAUUCAUUUUGAAGGACAGUAAAACACACAGUAUGGAUUUAUUUGGGGGACACAGUAACACACUCGGUGUGUUUAUUUUGGGGACAGGGUAACACACUCGUGUGUAUUCAUUUUGAAGGACAGUAAAACACACAGUAUGGAUUUAUUUGGGGGAAGGUAACACAAACUGGGGUUUUAUCCACAGUGUGUAUGUGAUCAAUUUUGUUAUUUGUGAUGCACUUUUUUAUUCUUUGGUUAAUUGCUCUAUUAUUUGUAACUGGCUGCACAUUGUUUAAUGCCAAAACAUUUGUUUAAGAGGUCAUCAAAAUGGAAAAUUGCCUUAAAUUUCUAUAACUUACAAUGCAAGAUACAUUUUAGUAUUGGUGAUUGCCUAAAUAAGACGCAUUAAAUAAUGGAUGCAUUAAAUAAUGGACACCUAGUGAGAUGGUACAAAUGUUCCAUUUUGAUGACAUCAUGUGUUGGUACUGUUUUAAAGGAGUAGCUCACUCAAAAAUGACUUCUUUUCUAUCACUU